rnacentral:hammerhead_ribozyme from 2 species
AAGCGAAACCAGACCGAGUUAAUCCUCGGUUUGGUCUGCCAGGCGUGGUUGUCUGGUACUGAUGAGCAGCCAAUU